AGGAAGAAACCUACCGAAGAUAUCUGCAACUGCUUCAAUUGCCUUUUUCUUGGUUUUUUCAUCAGUCAUAGUAAGGACCUUCAACUCUAUCUUCUGCAAAUAGAUAGAGAUAGAUAAGAACAAAGAAAUACAAUUACUUUUAACUAACUAAACAAGCAUAAGCAUCAACAUACAUAAUGAAACAAGACAAUGGAGAAGAAAUUAAUGUAAACAAAAUGUGCAAUUGAGUACCUGAGCCAUUCUGAUUCUCCACAAGCGAGUGACAAAACAGAACAAGGAAAAUGAGAAUGAAGACUCCAGAAUUUUGUGGCCUUUGUACUUUUAUUUUGUGGCCAGCAUGGCGCAGUUCAAUAGCUUACGUAGGACAAUUGUUUUGACAUGGUGAUGGCAUGUUCCAAGCCUUUAGAUUUUUCUUUUUCUUUUUUUUCUAUUCACUUUCUUGUCAUCAACCAUAUUUGCUUUAUAUAUAUAGAUAUUAAAAAUAACAUGUAAGAUAUUAGUGAAAUGGAAAGUAGAAGAAAAUUCUGAUUAAUUACUUGUCACUAAGAAAAGUCAGAUGAAGACGUUAUAAUUAAUGAUAUUCUAAGUGCAUUAGUCUUUAUUUCAUGAGGCACCAAUCCAUUGUUUCCUUAACAGUACAAAAAAUUAUAGAACAAAAGGCUAACAUGAAGAAAAGCUUGUAUGUUGUAACUCCUAGCAGACAUCUGAAUGGUUUACAUGUAAUAUAAUAUUCAUACAACUAUACAAGAUUGUCCAUUCUAUAAAUUGCUUCUGUUGUUUUGUCUUAGAACCUUUUGUAAUGGAAAAAUGAUACAAUCCUAUAAUCCACUAUAAGUUAUCAAACAUACAUCCGAAACAUGCUUAGGUCAAAACAUUCAAAAUAUAAUACCUGCUAUGAGUGACCAUUAGUAAAUUAGAAAUAUUUACAAAUAGCAGGUGACUUUGAUUCAACAAGUAUCAUUUUUUGUUUAAAUAGACUACAUCUUUUUACAUGUCAAAAAAUUCUUUGAAUAUUCUAAUCAUCAAAACAUAUACGAGUAUAAACUCUAGAUUAAUUUUCAAGUCUCCCAUCUUACAAUUAUUAUUUAACCAAUUACAUCAAGGGUUAUUAAUCUUAAUGUACUUGAAGGUGUCAGUCUGCAAACUCAGGAAAGAAAAGGGGGUGGGGAAGAAAUCCCAAGGUCACAGAAUCAAAAUGUAUAUAGUUGCAAUAAGGCAAACCUUCUACUAUAGUCUGAAAUACAUGGCAGUGUGUUCUUCUAUCAUAUUAAGAUACAGUUUAGAAUGUAGAUCGUAAGACAAAGAACAAAAAAAGAAAGGGGAAAAGGUAGGGGAAUGAAAUCAAAUAUGGUGGUUAUUACUUUUAUUAUAUCAAUAAUAGAUGUAUAGAACUAUAUAUUAUAUUGCCCGGGCUUUUAUGAUGUCAAAGCUCAUCUCACUUGGAUCCGUUGCUUGCAAUUCAACUUGAAUGCCAUCGAGUUCCCUCUUGAAUCUAUCCUUGGAGCUCGCAUACACCAUCUUUUCUCUCACUCUUGAUGUAUCCGGUGCCCUAAAUGUUAAACAAUUAAUUCAUCAGAGGAACUAUGACUUUCAAUUAUCAAUUGUUCUUCCCUAAAAUUAACUUGAGAAUCAGAAAAAUUACUGCAAUAUGUUAGUAUUAUUAACAUUUCUACACAUAGCUAGAAAGAACUAUGAGUUUCAAAAUGCUUUAAUGAAACUGAAUUUCAUCAAAUUACCAUGCAAUGAAGAAAAUUUUGCUUUUCUGACAGUUCUCGUCCGUAGUGAAAUCGAAAUCAAAGACAGCAUAUCGGCACUCAUUAGCAGGUAGAGAAGCAGUGAAGUCAUCAUAGGUUUCGUCGGGGCUUCCGACUUUCUCCACCACCACUUCUUGGUUCUCAAUCCUGAACACAAUGAAUCGGUAAUUCCUCUUUGCCUUUAACUCCAGAAACUUCAAUUUACAUGCAUCAUUAACAGCCAUUCCAGAUGCCGCGUUCGCCUAACACAGUCAAUUCAUCGUAAAAUCAAAGGAAAUAACAUAAGCAUACAACACAGUUCAAGUUCUUACGUUUAUGCAUUUCAUUAAUUGCCUAAAGAGGUUAGAUUUGCACAAUAGUUAUGAAAGUAAGAUCUACCAAAAUUAUACAAAUGAAGUUCUAAAAUCAGAAAAAUUCUGUUAUAUGAAAUGAUUAAGCAAAUUUCAUAAUUGUAUUAAGUAAAUCCGAUGGUGCUAAAACACAUAGAAACAACGGCAUCUCUAUCUGGCACUAUAUAAUAUAACACAUGUUCUCAGAUUUCAGAUAACUAUUCGGCAUUGAAAAACGAAGGAGAAAGAGAACGUACCAUGAUGUCGUCGUUGAUGGAGAAAGCCUCAAAGGAGAAAUGAGAAAGAAAAUGAGUUAGAGAUUUGGGAAAGAAACAAGAAAAAAAAUGAGAGAGAAACAGAGGAAGAGAUCCUUAUUCAGAGGGAAAUAAGAGCCUGGAGACAAAAACGGAGAGCAAUAGAAUUUUGAGGCAGGAAACAGAAGGUUCAUAUCAUUUCUAAACUUUGAUGGCUCUUAGCGUAAACCAACCUACAUUGCAUUUGCAUGUGCAUGUGCAUCAAUAUAUGAUUAUGAUGCAUGCUUUCUUAAUUACAAAUCACACUUAAUACUCGAUUUGGUACCUGAAGUUACACGCGAGUCUCAAUUUAGUCCCUGAAGUUUCAAUUAUCUCUAUUUAGUCCCCAAACUUUGUGAACAUAACUCAUGUUAGUCCUUAAAACAAUUUUCAACGUAUAAACGUAAACGAAACACUGUUGUGACAGCCGGAUGCCACACUAAAUUUUGUAAAAUGAUAUCGUUUUGGUUUUGGC
rnacentral:lncRNA from 1 species